AUUGAACGCUGGCGGCAUGCCUUACACAUGCAAGUCGAACGGCAGCACGGGAGCAAUCCUGGUGGCGAGUGGCGAACGGGUGAGUAAAGUAUCGGAACGUGCCCAGUCGUGGGGGAUAACGUAGCGAAAGUUACGCUAAUACCGCAUACGAUCUAUGGAUGAAAGCGGGGGAUCGCAAGACCUCGCGCGAUUGGAGCGGCCGAUAUCAGAUUAGGUAGUUGGGGGGGUAAAGGCUCACCAAGCCGACGAUCUGUAGCUGGUCUGAGAGGACGACCAGCCACACUGGGACUGCGACACGGCCCAGACUCCUACGGGAGGCAGCAGUGGGGAAUGUUGGACAAUGGGCGAAAGCCUGAUCCAGCCAUGCCGCGUGCAGGAUGAAGGCCUUCGGGUUGUAAACUGCUUUUGUACGGAACGAAAAGGUUUGGGCUAAUAAGCUGAGCUCAUGACGGUACCGUAAGAAUAAGCACCGGCUAACUACGUGCCAGCAGCCGCGGUAA
rnacentral:rRNA from 1 species